rnacentral:rRNA from 1 species
AGUGAACGCUGGCGGCGUGCCUAAUCCAUUCAAGUCGAACGGAGUGGCGCACGGGUGAGUAAUGUAUAGCUAAUCUGCCCUACACUAGAGGACAACAGUUGGAAACGGCUGCUAAUACUCUAUAGUGUAGGAUGAGGGUAUAUUGUAUCAGCUAGUUGGUGAGGUAAUGGCUCACCAAGGCUAUGACGCAUAACUGGUCUGAGAGGAUGAUCAGUCAAACUGGAACGGAGGCAGGGUCCAGACUCCUACGGGAAGCAGCAGUAGGGAGUAUUGCUCAAUGGGGGAAACCCUGAAGCAGCAACGCCGCGUGGAGGAUGACACUUUUCGGAGCGUAAACUCCUGUUGUUAGGGAAGCGGUACCUAACGAAUAAGCACCGGCUAACUCCGUGCCAGCAGCCGCGGUAAUUC